UAUGGCCACAUCACUUUGAUCACCGGUUCCAGUAUGAUUACCGAAGUUAAGCAACGUCGAGCCUGGUCAGUACCUAGAUGGGUGUCCGCAUAGGAGUACCAGGUGCAGUAAG